rnacentral:lncRNA from 1 species
UCUGUUCUUUGGCUGCCAUAGCACUAACAGUUUAUGGAAAAGAAUAUGCAAUUGGUUGGGAUAUUCUCGAACUAUUGGCUGUUGGGAUUCUGAGCUCAAUUGGAUAUGUAGUAUAGCUAAGAGCAGGCAAUGGCAUAAUUCGAUAACAGCUGCUGCAUUCAUAACUACAACUGCACUUAUUUGGAAAGCAAGGAACCAUAUUCGAUUUGAAGGUGCUACAUAUGUGGAGGAUUUGCUAUGUCGAGAGAUUGCCUUAUUGAUACAUAUUCGAGGCAGUAAAAACAAGCAAUGGCAAAUUGGACUGAGAAAGCUCAACUAUUUUCCUUAGCCUAUGACAUUACAUGCUAUAGACAGAUUUGUAGAUACAUAGCCAAAUAGUGUAGUGAGAUUCUUGUAUUAGUAUAGUAGUUAGUCCAAUACUACUAUCAUGACCUUUGAUGUACAUAUACUUUGUUAUCAAUGAAAGCUUAAUUUUACAAAAAAAAAUAAAAAAUUACAACCUUAGAUCCUUCUCUUAAUUGUUUACAACUUAAUCAUAGUUAGUCUUUAUUUACUUAACUGCAGCCAAUCGUAGUUGGUAAAACUAUCCUCAAUUGUGAUUCAAAAUAUUUGGGAAGUUGAUUACGUAGAAUUUGGUGAAUCUAACAAGAUUAAUUGAUAGGUUAAUUCCUUGUCGGUUCGACACUGGCUAAAUACUCAGAUUAUAUUUGCAACGUCCACUUAGUCCUUUUUAUAAGGCAUAGUUGGACAUGAUCAAAUUUUGGCACCGUUGCCGGGGAAUUAAUAGCUUUAUUAAUUACAAUUGAAAGAAAUACAAUAAUUUUUAAUGUAGUCAGUUUUCUCUAUAUCCAAUCUAUACAUUGAAAUUUUAACGUUUGUCGAAUUUUUGUACAGGUGCAUGCCUAGAAACUCAUCGAGAAUUGCUGAUUUCUUUGAAGCAUUAUCAGAUCCCGAAAAUUUUUCAAGGACUUGAAUUGGGCCAAUCGGAAAAAUAAGCAACUAAACAAUUCGAACCAAAUAUGGGGGAUAACAUGGUAACCUAGCUACGCCAGUAGUGCCGGUGGCACCUCUUGUGCCAGAAGCUGCUCUAUAUGACUGGGCAUAACCCACAACAUAGAGCUUGGCCACAAUGAUUGUAGUCCUACAAAUAUAGGUUGAAUCAUUUCAAGUCAUGAUCAACAUGCUGCACUUGUUGCAAAAUAAGGGACUAUUUUCGGGGUCACAAAUCGAAGAUCCUCAACAACACCUAAAGAAUUUCCUGUCAAUUUGCAAAACUCAAAGGCAACCCAACGUAACUCAAGAAACAAUAAAGAUAUUGUUGUUUUCAUUCUCAGUGACAGGAGCUGCCCAGACCUGGCUAAAAUCACUCCCCAUUAAUUCCAUAACGACUUGGGAGGAGUUAGUCAAGAAAUUUGUGAACAAGUUCCAUCCAACCAAUAAGACUGCUCAACAAGUUGAUGAAAUUUUGAGUUUCAGACAGAUAGCAAUUGAGACACUGCAAGAAACAUAGGAACGAUUCAAAGGGAUAUUAGUUAUAUGUCCGCACCACGGUAUUCUAGAUCAGAUGUUGGAGUAGUAGUUUUACAUGGGUUUAUCAGAUGGCGUGAAUGGUAAUGUUGAUGCUUCAGCUAGUGGAGCAUUUUGGAGCAAAACAUUGAGAGAAAGCUAGAGUGUGCUUGUCAAGAUGGCACAGAAUUUCGGGUGGACAACCAGGAAUGCACCGAUCACUCUAAUGGUUCACUCAGUGCCCUUAGAUCCAUCCAACACUAUUGCUGAAAACAUAGCCAUAUUAAUAACACAGAUGAGUACACUCACCAAAAAGGUGGAACAGUCAGGGAAGAAGCAGCAGGUACACAUUGUAGAUACUACAUGCAUGCGGCAAGGGAGAUGUUCACGGUACACGACAUGACACCGCCAUCAGGACCUCCGCUCAAAAAAGAAACAAAGGGUAAUCAAGCCAUGCUUUCGAUCAAACCCAAUCAAACCAAAUAAAGGACCAUACUGCGUCCUCACCUCGAGUGAUUGGAACAUAUUAAUCCUCAAAACAUCAUCGGCGCAUCUCACACUAAGGUAUAACCUAUUCCCUUUCCAUUUCGUAUUUUAGACUAAUCUUAUGUAGGCGCCCGACCGAAGCAGUCAGAGCAUUAGUCCAGCUCGAAGACCUUAAGGUUUUUUAAAGCAUCCAUUGCACUUUUUUUAUUGACUGAGUUUUUGUCCCGAAAAGGAUUUUACCGACAGGUUUUUAACGAGGCAACAUCUGCAUGCUGCCUAAAGGAGAUUCAACAAGUGUCUGAGGCUUCUUUUGAAAUCAACCUCGAACAUUGAGGGGAACCCCNNNNNNNNNNNNNNNNNNNNNNNNNNNNNNNNNNNNNNNNNNNNNNNNNNNNNNNNNNNNNNNNNNNNNNNNNNNNNNNNNNNNNNNNNNNNNNNNNNNNNNNNNNNNNNNNNNNNNNNNNNNNNNNNNNNNNNNNNNNNNNNNNNNNNNNNNNNNNNNNNNNNNNNNNNNNNNNNNNNNNNNNNNNNNNNNNNNNNNNNNNNNNNNNNNNNNNNNNNNNNNNNNNNNNNNNNNNNNNNNNNNNNNNNNNNNNNNNNNNNNNNNNNNNNNNNNNNNNNNNNNNNNNNNNNNNNNNNNNNNNNNNNNNNNNNNNNNNNNNNNNNNNNNNNNNNNNNNNNNNNNNNNNNNNNNNNNNNNNNNNNNNNNNNNNNNNNNNNNNNNNNNNNNCGAAGGUCAUUCGCUUGAAAAAUCCAAGAGAUGCCUAAUUGGGCCCCUAUCGAAAAAUAAUGUAGCGGGCCAAACAGUCAAAUGAACCCUGUACUAUACCCGGGCCCCCGAUGGUAAAAAUUGUACUCUUGUACCAAAUAAUUGAAGAACAUUUGUUAUCAAAGCAUCUCACGCUCCAAAAGAGGCUUAGAACCUUCUCAAAAACAACUCCCAUACAGAAAGUGUCCCAAACACUCGGGGACUAGCGUCAAUAAUUCAACACGUAAACGACCUCUGGGUCGGGACUCCAAAAUCGUAAUCCCUCAUAUAAGGCAACGCAGAAAUUGCUAAACAUCUGCAACACCAAAAGUACCUCGAAUACUCGGGGAUCAGCGUCGAAAUCUAAAAAUAGCUCCCGAGUCAAUACAAAGUUUGCAAAAAAUGGUUCCCGAGUCAAGGAACCCUUGACGACUCGGGGACUGCCGUCAAGCACCAUCUCCAUUGACUUAUAAAAACCCGAGGUUGUAAGACCCCGAGCGGGGAAAGUUGGUCUCAUCAGACCUACAUCAUGUUGCAAUUAAACCUGUAAGAACUCAACAACAUGAAAAAUCUAUAAGACCUUAAGCAACGUAUAAACCACACUUGUACCAAGUGACAAAACUGUAUGACAUCAACAACAUGAAAAAUCUGUAAGACCUCAAGCAAGGUAUGAACCACACUUGUACCAAGUGACAAAGUUGUAUGAUUUCAACGGCAUGAAAAACCUGUAAGACCUCAAUGGCAUGAAAACCCUGUAAGACCUCAAUGGCAUGAAAUACUUGUAAGACCUUAGGCAUAAACCCGAUCUCAAAGUUUCGGCUAUAUAUCGAACUUGUAAGACCUCUAAAAAGGCAUACCCUCGAUAUAGAUGCUGAAACUACCUCACUCGGGACUCAAAGGCUCCAGCCAAAUACAAGUGACUCUGGUCACAUGGCUGUAGCAGUCGAACUAACGCGACUCGGGGACGCCCGACCGUCGCUAUGAGGCCUAAGAGCUAUUGUCGCCAGCCCACACGGGCCAUCAAAUACUCUUAAUCUAACUUGGAAAGAUCUAGUUAAACAGGCUACCCUCGACAUAGGAAAAUAAGCUUCGACCAUGUAAGCUCCAAAUCACAAGCUUCGAGCUACUCAGCCUCCAAGACAAACCUCUCGAGGUGCUCGAACAUUACCGCAAGUUACUCGAAAUCGAGGUUCUUCCUGAACCAACGAUGAGUCAGUUAAAAUCUACUUCAAAAAAGUCCUUAACGAGAGGAAAAUAAAGCCUACUAAAAAGGUCCCAUCGACCAAGCACGUAAGAGUCAUUAUCGCCAGCCUAAAGAGCCUUAGGGACACACGAACACUAACAGGUUGCAUUGACCAAAAGUGUAAGAGCCACUGUUGCUAGCUUAAAAUUUGAUAACUUGAGUGUCAAAAUGAGCUCGAGUGGUAAGUCGAUUCGGAGACCGCACCCAAAAUAGUUAACUAUACAUGCCUAAGGGAAAAACGUAAGAGCCACUGUCGCCAGCUCAUAUAAAAAGGUCAUUUCGACCCAAAGCGUAAGAGCCAUUGUCGCCAGCUUAUAUUAAUAGGUCACUUAGACCCAAAGAGUAGGAGCCAUUGUUGCCAGCCAAUGUACAAUAAAAGGUCAAAUCGACCAAAAGCGUAAAAGCGCCUAUCACCAGCCUUAAAUUAUGCCAUUGAAAGGUUAAAUAAGCUCGAGUCAAUUCCCGACUCGGUGAUUGAGCCCAAAAUAGGUAGCUUAAGUAUGCCUAAGAGUGAAAGUACGUAAGAGCCUACGGGUUAGUCCAAUGAGCCCCGGGGCCACAUUGCUAAUCUGAUGAUUCCUACCAACGCCUAGCUUGCCUGGUCAAAAUUAAGACAAAAAAAGAUACAAAAGGAGUAAUGCCGCAAGGUUUUCUUUCAUAUACAUGCAACAAACGCAAUCUUCAACUACAGACAUGCUUCGAAAAUGCUACAUACAGAUGGUAAACUCUAUGCUCCCCUGGAGGAUACGGCCUAUCGGCCUCAUCUUUUGUUUCAUCUACAUCGAGCAAAAGCAACCGAGCAUCACGUUCGUUCGAUCUUAAUAUCGCUAUUUCCUCCGAGAGCGUGAAGCCCCUAGCAUAGAUCUCUUUAAGGGUCUUUCUUCGAGACUUGCAACGAGCAUAUCCUUCAAUCCUCCCUUCACGAUCUAGUAUCCUUUUCAACUCGGCUUGAGCAUCAGCAACAUCCUUUGAGUAGAUCGCCAUCACCUAGUCAGCCUUAGUACUGCCCAUUGCGACUUCUGCCGGGGCAUCAACGAUCUCAGCCCUGACUUUCGAAAGUUAGGACUUAAUCUUUGAAAUCAUUACUCUCUGAACCAAAGCAUUGUCACGAGCUAUGCGGAGUUGAGCUUCAAAGGUAGGAACUUUGGCCCGGGCAUCCUUCCCUAGUAGAGCUUGAACCUCCACCCGAGUUUUUCAUUCAUCAUGCCCACGCCUGGCCCAACCAACUUCAUCUCAAAAGCACACUAGGGCCUCCAUUUUUUCCAUAACUGAAAUAACUAAGUAUUGGCCCCGGGAAUCAGGAAGCGAAAUGCACAUUCACUCGAGGUAGAAAACUACCUAUUCCUUUAGGUGGUUCUCGUAAUUCAGCCUCCGGCCCACCUCACACUGCAAAUGUACCAGCUCGAUUUCCUUUUCAUCACAAAGGAGCUUCAGGGAUCUCUCCUCAUCCAGAGCUUUCCAUAGCCUGGCUUCACAAUGAAGCAACCCGGACUUAUGCAUGUCGAGUGCCUGCACAAAAAAGACUCAGAAAGAAAGGGGUGGCGCAAAACUCAAAAAACCUAUGCCGAAACUCACCGCAAAGUGAAGUCAUUGGGCUUCCUCAAAGGCCGAACGCACAUAUGCCAAUCUAGUCCCUUUAGCCCGGAAAGAGCCUUCUCCGAUCGAAGCACAGUUGGUCGGUGCAUGCGACCACAGAUUUCUAGUAUCUCCCAAAAUACAAUCAACGGAAAAAGAAGGUGACAUCCAAAGGGAUCCUCUUGCCAAAAUCGGGAGCUGCAGAUGCGACGGGUUUGCAUGAUACUUACAUUCUGAAACCUAUUUCCUCCUAACUUUGAGCGCCAUCGCCCUGUGAAAGCACCUCUCCUUCAUUGUUACAAUUAUUUAGCCCAAAAGUUAGCAACCCUUCCCCCUCUCGAGGGAGCACGGCCUCACCUCGCCUCGAAAGGCUCUCCAAUGUCCACAACAGUAAUAUUAAUGCGCGUAAAGGGGGAUAUGCUUCUACACAUAAAAGAAGGGAAGGGAAGGAAUAACACAACACUCACCAUGGUAUUUUGGUUCCCAUCUGCCUUGGGACGCAGCUCGUUACUAGUUGAGUAGGUCACCAACUUUUGGACCCAGUCCGGCAAAUAAGGAAUGUUGCUCGAUGCUUACGGUACCACUAAUAAAAAAGAAAAGAAGGCACAUUUACGAAGCCAAGCUUUCGCCAUAGACAAAAUUUAUAAAGCACGAGAUGAACCACUUACGAGUAUAAUUCCAUUCCUCAGGGAAUGGCAUGAUCUCACCAGGGAUAAUGUCAGCUGUCCUCACUCGGAUGAAGCGACUCAUCCAUCCCUAAUGUCUAUCUUCCUCGUUGUCAAUAACGAAGGGUGUAGUCGAUCGACAUCGCAAGUUCAACAGACCUCGAUGGUGGAAGGGCCGGUACAGCCUGAUAAGAUAACUAAGAGUAAAGUCAAGCCCAACAUUCUACCCGAAAAAUCUAAUCAUCAUCCCUAUUUGCCAAAAUGACUGAUGGAUCUGUGCCAAGGUAACUUGAUACUGUAAGCAGAAGUCGAGCACAACCCUAUCAAGGGGGACCAGUGUGAAAAGAUACGUGUACACAUUCAGAAACCCAUCGGCAUGGUCUGUGAUGCCCUCACCCGUGGAAAAUUCCUGUAACAUCACUUUCUCCCCCAUACACAUUCGUUUCUCAAUAACACAAGAUGCUCUUCUCCUAUCAAUGAAGUUGUCUUCAAGUCAUACUUUUGUUGAUCCUGAAGACCGGAGGCAGAGCUCUCCUCUCCCUGUCAGACAGGCCCCGACAUAUCGGUUGUGGAGGUUAAAAAAUUAGAUAACUAAAAAGUAGGAAUAUGUGCAGACGCAUUAGCACUAAAACGCCGAAAGGCUGGCGCAGAAAAAGAAGGGCAAUUUCUUAUAAUGCAGAAUCUCAAAAAGGGAAGAAAUAACCAUAUUUGAUGUUUCGCCUGCCUCGAAGCCUGUUAAGAACACUAACCGAUGCCACAUUCUCCAGUCCCGAGGUGGUACCCGACCUUAAGGACCACCACUAGAACAAGGUUAGGCUCCAAGAAAAUAAUUACACAUUUUCCAGUCCCGAGGUGGUACCCAACCACGAGGACCUUUACCAAAACAAGGUUAGGCUCUAAGAAGCCAAUAAUACCUUCUCCAAUCCUGAGGUGGUAUCCGACCUCGAGGACCCCGAUCAGGAUAAGAUUAGGUUCCAAGAAGCCAAUCAUACCUUCUCUUGUCUCGAGGUGGUACCCAACUUGAGAACCUCCAUCAGAACUACGUUAGGCUCCAAGAAGCCAAUAACACCUUCUCCAAUCCCGAGGUGGUACCCGACCUCGACGACCUCCAUCAGAAAAAGGUUAGACACCAAGAAUCCAAUAACACCUUCUCUAGUCCCGAGGUGGUACCCGACCUCGGGGGUUUUUAGGCUCCAAGGAAAGAAGCCUUUAAACCACACCUGUAUGGUCCUGGUCCCCAGGUACCAUCUGGGGUUAGACAAACCCUCUUUCAAAAUCUAUCUACAGCGCUCUAACGCUAUUUACACUAAGCCCAAAGAAUGUUUCCUGGUGGUCCAAAUUUGACCAGACCUCCACUCGGGGACUGCCCUUGAGAGAUCAAAGGCAACCCCUGUCCACGAGCCUCCUGGAAAAUUUUUCUCAAAGGUUACCACAAAGUUUAACUAAUAAACCGUGACUCCGAGGCCCAAAAUGUUACUUUCAUUCUACUCGAAUUCAAGGUCCCGGUGACUUGAGUCCAUCGGCCCUCUUCGGAUUCUAUCAAAGGGAUAGCAAAGGAUUCUGCUCAAAGCCAUAUUAAUUGGCCAAUGUCUAGAAAGAAUACUCGCACCCAGGUUUCAUAUUGGUGACAACAAAGGGAGCCAUGUAAUCAGAGUCUCCACAAACAUAAAAGAAUACAACAAGCAUCGAAGGCAAAUUGGAAAAUAUCUUUGUAUUCGUAAAACAUUCAAUUACAAAAGCCCACGAGGGGUCCAUACAUAUGAUUACAAAGCCCACCAGGGGUUCUUACAUAGAAACGAAGAAGUGAGAUGAUACACGCACAGUGAAAUUGAAAGCCUGGAACCUAAUCUACUCUCGAAGAUUCAUCUACGGUAUCAACAUAUUCGAGCUCCGCCCCCUCGACGGUGAUACCUUUGAUCCAACUCCUCUAGGUUCCCAGCUCAAUCCCUCAAAGCAAUAUCUCCAAGGGCAAAGAUGAAGAAGAUGAAAAUGGGAAGGCAAAGAAGAGGAAGGUGAUGCAAAAGAGGCGGGAAAAAGAGACAUAGCUUGCCGGAGCCAAAGGUUGAAGAUUCGGAGGGCCUCAACUCUGCUCGCACGGCUACUCUGGGUCCACUUUUUGGGGUAUUAUCCCGGGCGAGCUUAGCAGUCGGUUUGCUAUUUUAUCCCUUGGGAAAAUAUUCGAGGGACGAAGUGCGACACUAGUAUAGGGUAAGAGAGUGAGCAGCGGUGUGUAGUUCGAACACUCUCCCGAGCAGCAGUGUAGAGUCCAAAUAUUCCCCAAAGUUGGAACAGGCCAACCCCCUUCGUAUCAUCACCUCGGUCUAAUGACAACAAUAAUGAUAGUCAUAACAAUAACGACAAAAAUAAGACAGUAUAAUCUCGAUCGACACAGCAAAACCUAGGUAAAGGGCCAUGGCUCGGCUGGUAAGAAUGCCACCGUAAGGUCUUAAGGUCAGAAACCCAGGCAUAUCAGGUAGCAAUAAGAGAUAGAUAAUGAGAAUUAGAAUAAAGGAAUGAAAAUAUGUUGAGAAACAAUUGAUAAAAUGUUAGCAUGGAAAGGCCCCAUUUAAAGGGGAUGGUAGUGUGGCCUACUGUGCCAUCAAUGCCUUAGAAGACGUAUCGACAUGCGCAAUCAAUGUGCCAUUGGAAACUGGAUCGACGGCGAUAUGGUCGCCUUGAAGAAUGGGAAUCUAUAGCACAUUGAAUGACACUGAAAAUACAAGCCCAUAGGAUGUACCAGUUAUCGUUGAGACUUACAUCAUAAGUAUAAUAUUGUCAGCAUGACAUCACUAUGGGAAGUCCAAAAAGUUGGGUGUCAAAAUUGUUUCUUAUCACUCAUAUUUAAGAGACGUAAGGGCUAUCUGUGUAAGGUGAAAUUGGAGGGUCUAAUUUCUCAUUAUCAAAGCACCUGGGAAGACCGUCUCAAAGUUCCGAGGCUACAAGGCACCGAUCGAGAUUCCUUCUUCGAGGUUCAUUACACUCGACCUUGUGAUAACAUCAACCACGACCACGGUGGAAAUAGGGAGUUCCCAAGGCAUAUGGCUAGGACUGAUGAAGCCUAGAGAGCUACUCUAAGACACGAAUCAGGGGGGUCGUCGAGUUGUCACAUCUUCGUACCCUUAUAGUUAAUGCUUGUUGUACUAUGAAGGGAUUCUCCUCCUAUAUCAUGGGGAUACCUAUUACUUUGUAAGGGUCGGUCACUUCAGUUACUUUACACAAAAAUAUACAAGAACUCUCUAUUUUCAAUCUAACACAUUCUCUCAAUAUUAUUGCUUUCAUUUAUUGUCUUCAUAUUUGUUCAUCAUUUAUUGUUUGUCAUAGGCCAUAAAGAUCCUCCGUUAAUUCUAUAUAAUGGUUAGUCAUACAGUAGCCAUCUUUGACAGCUCGUAAUCGAGCCUUAAGAUCGACCUCGAGGCCCAGAAUCGGCAAGCCCAAGACCCUGAAUAGUUGUCCUACCAGUUUGGUUAUAGUUUUAACUUCAACUCUAUUUUGUUUCUAAAUUUCGCAUACUCAGGAUCAAUUGCUUAACAAAAUAGCAUAAAAAUAGAUCAUGUAUGUUUGGAGUCCCAUCAACAAAUUUAAUUGUUAUUAUCAUAUUUAUAUAUAUGUAUAUAUGUAUGUAUUUUUAGAGGAUUAUAUUAUUUACACGGAGUGUAAAGGAUAUUUAUAUUAGUGUGGUUUAUCCAUUGUACCACCUUGCUUAAUCUGUCAGUAGUAUAUAUUAGUGUCGUCUGUCCAUUGUACAAACUUGCUUAGAUGUUCAUUUAGUACUCCGUUGUAAAUAAGCUUCCUGAAGAAGCUUAUCCGUAUGUGACUCCGCCGUAAAUAUGUUUAUCUAUUUAGUACUCUAUUGAAAAUAAGCUUCCUGGAGAAGCUUAUCACUUCGGUACCCGGUUAUGGAUAAACAUUACCCCCGGUAGAAGAUUAUUCAUAUCGGGUAUAAUAAGCUUAUCCUUUUAGUAUCCGGUUAUGGAUAAACAUUACCCCUGUUAGAAGAUUAUCCAUACCGGGCAUAAUAAGCUUAUCCUUUCAGUACUCUGUUAUGGAUAAUAAUUACCCCCAGUAGAAGAUUAUCUAUAUUGGGUAUUAUGAACUUAUCCAUUCAGUACUCCGUUAUGGAUAAACAUUACUGAACGAUUAUCCAUAUCUGGUAUUAUAGCAGCUUACACAGCAGCUUGCAGUAGCAGCUUACACAGCAGCUUGCAGUAGCAGCUUACACAACAGCUUCCUUUCUUCUAUUAAUAGAAGUGGUUUCAGUGCAUUAUGUACAUCAGUUUGAAUUCGAAUAAUAUAUCAGUCUCUCUCUAUACUUGUGUUUACUUUAAAGUCUUUAUUUUAUAAAACGUUAUCAGCACGAGACUCAGCCAUAUCGAGCAAAUAUUUUGAAAGUAUCUGAGAUAAGAACUUUCUUUUCCUAAAUAAUGUCAAAUCUUUCUAAACUGGAAUUUGUUGCCCUGGAUAUAUCGGGCAAAAGCUACAUGUCUUGGGUGCUUGAUACUGAAAUUCAUCUUGAUGCGAUGGGUCUGGCAGACACCAUCAAAGACAAAAAUCAGGCAUCAAAUCAUGACCGUGCCAAAGCAAUGAUAUUCCUACGCCAUCACCUUGAUGAGGGCCUGAAAAUGGAAUAUCUUACCUACAUGUCUUGGGUGCUUGAUGCUCAAGUUCAUCUUGAUACAAUGGGUUUGGAAGACACCAUCAAAAACAAAAAUCAGGCAUCAAACCAAGACCGUGCCAAAGCAAUGAUAUUCCUACGCCAUCACCUUGNNNNNNNNNNNNNNNNNNNNNNNNNNNNNNNNNNNNNNNNNNNNNNNNNNNNNNNNNNNNNNNNNNNNNNNNNNNNNNNNNNNNNNNNNNNNNNNNNNNNNNNNNNNNNNNNNNNAAGAUCCAGUCAUACUGUGGAAUAAUUUGAAAGAUAGAUAUGACCACCUGAAGAUGGUCGUUCUUCCACAUGCACGAUAUGAUUGGACCCAUAUAAGGCUACAAGAUUUUAAAUCUAUCAGUGAGUAUAAUUCUGGUAUGUUCAGAAUCAUUUCUCAGUUUUGAAAUUAUGUGGUGAUAAUAUUACUGACCAUGUAUGUUAGAGAAAAUUUUCACCAUUUUCCAUGCCUCGAAUAUGCUCCUGCAGCAGCAAUGUCGAGAGAUGGGAUUUAAAAAGUAUUCUGAACUUUUCUCACAUCUUCUUAUAGCCGAGCAACAUAAUGGGCUAUUAAUGAAAAACCAUGAAAGUCGGCAUUUAAAAAGUAUUCUGAACUUAUCUCAUAUCUUCUUGUAGCCGAGCAACAUAAUGGGCUAUUAAUGAAAACCCAUGAAAGUCGACCUACUGGUUCUUGUCCAUUCCCUGAAGUGAAUGAGACGAACUUCCACCAAGUUAAACGUGGAAGAAGUCGUGGCCCCAGUCGUAGUCAUGGCCGUGGUCGGGGAAGAAAUCCCAAUCAUGGUAAUAAUAAUGCACCAAAGAACCCUCCUCGCCACCAGCAGUGAAAAAGGAAGGAACAAAAGCAUGAAGCGAUGCAAGCACCAAAUAGAGAGUGCAUGCUAUAGAUGUGGAGGAAAAAGGCACUGGUCACGUACCUGUCGUACGCCAAAGCACCUGGUUGAGCUUUAUCAAGCCUCCCUGAAAAAGACAUAGAAAAAUGCUGAAGCAAAUUUUAUUUCUGAAGAUAAUUUAGACUUUAUGCAUUUAGAUGUAGUUGAUUACCUUGCACUUCCAGAAGGAGAAACAAGUCAUGUAAUCGAUGGUGAAUCUGUAGAAAUAUAAAUAUUUUAAUCUUUGUUGUUUGUAAUUGAUAGUAUGGCUAUAUAAUUAUUUUACAUAAAUAAAGUAGAAAUAUAAAUAUUUAUUUGUUGUCUGUAAUAGAUAGUAUGGUUAUGUAUUGUUGUGCAUAAAUAAAAGUUAUAUUUUGAUAAUGAUGUUUACUGUAAUAUAUUUUAUUUAUGUCAUUUUGAAGAAUAUGGAUAAUCCUCAAAUUAUGUUUGGAUCAAAGGCAAAUCAUGAAGAUAUUUGUGCUAUUGAUAAUGGAACAACUCAUGCCAUAUUCAGGGACCAGAAAUACAUUUCUUAUUUGCAUAAGGAAAAAGCAAAUGUUUCAAUAAUUUCUGGUAAUAUAGGUCUGAUUGAAGGCUCCGGAAGAGCCAUUAUCUUUUUGUCUAAGGGAACAAAACUUAUUAUAGACAAUGCAUUAUUCUCCUCCAAGUACUGAAGAAACUAGUUGAGUUUUAUAGAUAUCCGCCAAAAUGGGUAUCAUGUAGAGACAACAAAUGAAAUAAGUGAGGAAUAUCUUUGUAUUACAAAGAAUAUUUCUGGCCAGAAAUGCAUUGUAGAGAAGUUACCAACUUUAUCUUCUGGCUUAUACUAUUAAAAAAUUAGUACGGUUCAAGCACACUCUAUCGUAAACCAGAAGAUUACGGUUUCAAAUACUUUUGUGCUUUGGCAUGGCCGUUUGGGCCAUCCAGGAUCAAUAAUGAUAAAACGAAUUACUGAAAAUUCAUGUGGGCAUCCAUUAAAGAACCUGAAGAUUCUUACAAAUGACGAAUUUUCUUGUGAUGCUUGUGCAUGGACGUUUGGGCCAUCCUGGAUCAAUAAUGAUGAGACAAAUUACUGAAAAUUUGAGUGGGCAUCCGUUAAAGAACCUGAAGAUUCUUACAAAUGGCGAAUUUUCUUGUGAUGCUUGUUAUCAAUGCAAAAUGAUCACUAGACAAUCACCAAUGAAGGUUGGCAUUGAAUCCCCUGCCUUUUUAGAGCGUAUACAUGGGGAUAUAUGUGGACCUAUUCACCCACCAAGUGGGUUNNNNNNNNNNNNNNNNNNNNNNNNNNNNNNNNNNNNNNNNNNNNNNNNNNNNNNNNNNNNNNNNNNNNNNNNNNNNNNNNNNNNNNNNNNNNNNNNNNNNUGGUCCCAAUAGAUGCAUCUUCAAGAUGGUCUCAUGUGUGCCUACUAUCAUCUCACAACCUGGCGUUUGCAAAGCUAUUAGCCCAAAUAAUUCAAUUAAGGGCACAAUUCCCAGAUUAUCCUAUAAAGGCUAUUCACCUUGAUAAUGCUGGAGAAUUCUCAUCUCAAGAUUUUGAUGAUUAUUGUUUAUCAGUUGGGAUAUAAGUUGAACAUCCUGUAGCUUAUGUUCAUACUCAAAAUGGCCUUGCAGAGUUAUUUAUUAAACGCCUGCAAUUGAUAGCAAGACCACUACUUAUGAAAACAAAAUUGCCCACUACUGUUUGGGGCGAUGCUAUCUUGCAUGCAGCAUCACUUUUCCAUCAUAGAUCGACACAUUAUAAUGAAUAUUCCCCGUUACAACUAGUUUUUGUUCAUGAACCAAAUAUUGUCCAUUUACGAAUUUUCGAAUGUGUUGUAUAUGUGCCAGUAGCACCACCACAGCGCAGUAAGAUGGGACCACAAAUAAGAAUAGGAAUAUAUGUUGGGUUUGAAUCACCCUCUAUUAUUCGCUAUCUUGAACCAUUGACAGGAGAUUUAUUUACUGCUCGAUUUGCAGAUUGUCGGUUUGAUGAAACAAAUUUCCAACAAUUAGGGGGAGAGAAAAAGGAAAUCAAAAGAGAAAUUGUGUGGAAAAUUUCAUCAUUAUCUCACUUUGAUCCACGUACCCCUAUAUGUAAUCAGGAGGUCCAGAAGAUCAUCCAUUUACAGAAUAUAGCAAAUCAAGUGCCUGACGCAUUUACUGAUUUGAAAAGAAUAACUAAGUCACAUAUCUCAGCAGAGAAUGUGCCUAUUCGGAUUGAUGUCCCAGUAGGACCAUCUACUAGCAUGAGAGCUGGUGAACCUAAAACACGCCUUUUGGUUCUAAGGAUUGAUAUCCUCGAAAUCCUCGAAAAUGAAAAUCAACAAAUGAUCAAAACGAUACUAUGAAGGGAUCUCCUGAAGAGACCCAAGAUCUGAUUAGUUCUAAGAUUCCCCAAGAAAUCAAUGAACCCGAAGUUCAUGCGAGUGAAGAACUUUUAAUAAGCUCGACCGGUGAUGGGAUUAAUUUAAAUCAAGAAGAAAUUAAUGAACCCGAAGUUCAUGCGAGUGAAGAACUUUUAAUAAGUUCGACCGGUGAUGGGAUUAAUAAAUCGAUAUGAAAUAGUGGUGGAUAAUAUUUUUGCAUAUAAUAUUGCAGUUAAUAUUAUGCAAGAUAGUGAGGAUCUCGAACCACGAUCUAUCGAAGAAUGUCGACAGAGAUCUGAUUGGCCAAAAUGGCAAGGAGCAAUUCAAUCGGAAUUAAAGUCACUUGCUAAAAGAGAGGCCUUUUGACCAGUAGUCCAAACACUUGCUGGUAUAAAACCAGUUGGUCAUAAAUGGGCUUUUGUGUGGAAAGGAAUGACAUAAAUGAAGUUGAAAGAUAUAAAGCUCGUCUUGUUGCACAAGGAUUCUCACAACGUCCGGGAGUCGAUUUUGGUGAAAUAUAUUCACCAGUUAUGGAUGUCAUAACAUUUCGAUAUCUCAUCAGUUUACCACUACAUGAAAAGCUUGAAAUACAUCUAAUAGAUGUAGUUACAGCUUAUCUGUAAGGUUCACUUGAUAAUGAAAAUCCAUGAAGGAUUUAAAAUGCCUGAAGAAAAUCUCAGGAAAUGUAUUCAAUCAAAUUACAAAGAUCUUUGUACGGUUUAAAGCAAUCUGGGCGCAUGUGGUAUAAUCGCCUUAGUGAAUAUUUGUUGGAAGAGGGUUACAUAAAUGAUGUUAUGUGUCCAUGUAUUUCUAUAAAGAAAAUGACAUCAGAAUUUGUUUAAAUUGCAGUAUAUGUUGAUGACAUAAAUCUUGUUGGAACUCCAGAAGAGCUCCAAAAGGCAAUUGAAUAUCUUAAGAAAGAAUUUGAGAUAAAAUGUUGGAAAGACAAAACUUUGUCUUGGUGUGCAAAUUGAACAUUUAGCAGACGGGAUCUUUAUCCAUCAAUCUACCUAUACAGAAAGGGUCUUAAAACGCUUUUACAUGGACAAAGUGCACCAAUUGAGUACACCAAUGGUUGUUCGAUCCCUUGAAGUGAAUAAGGAUUUGUUCCGACCUCCAGAAGAGGAAGAGGAGCUCCUUGGUCCCGAAGUACCAUAUCUUAGUGCAAUUGGUGCAAUAAUGUAUCUUGCUAAUGCUACAAGGCCUGGCAUAGCAUUUUCUGUUAAUUUACUAGCAAGAUAUAGUUCUUCUCCUACUCGGAGACAUUGGAACGGGAUUAAACAUAUAUUGCGAUAUUUAAAGGAAAUUCUUGAUAUGGGUUUGUUUUAUGCUAACAAAGAUAGUGCAUAUCUUGUUGGUUAUGCAGAUGUAGGUUAUUUAUCUUAUCUCCAUAAAGCUCUAUCUCAAACAGGAUACGUAUUUACAUAUGGAGUUACUGUCAUAUCAUGGCGCUCCACAAAGUAAUCUAUUGUUGCUACUUCUUCAAAUCACGCUGAGAUAAUAGAUUCAUGAAGCAAGCAGGGAAUGCGUAUGGUUGAGAUCAGUAAUUCAUUUUAUUCGAGUAAAAUAUGGUUUGGAAUGUGAGAAAAGACCUACAGUAUUAUGCAAAGACAAUGUUGCAUGCAUAUCCCAAUUGAAGGGAGGAUUUAUAAAAGGAGAUAGAACGAAGCACAUUUCACCAAAAUUAUUCUACACACACGACCUUCAAAAAAUGGUGACAUUGAUGUCCAACAAAUCCGUUCAAGUGAUAAUACAACAGAUUUAUUCACUAAAUCUUUGCUAACUUCAACUUUUGAGAAGAUGGUAUACAAGAUUGGAAUAUGGAGACUCAAUUAUUUGAAACAAGGUUUUCAUCAAGGGGGGUAAAAUACGCGAUGCACUCUUUUUCCCUUAUUAAGGUUUUUUCCCAUAGGGUUUUCCUUAUAAGGUUUUUAAUGAGGCGCCAAACAAUGCAUAUUACUAAAGAUGUGUACUUUUUUUCAUUCACUAGGAUUUUUUCCCACGUAUAAAUAUAUUAUAUUAUGGAUGUUCAUUUAGUACUCCGUUGUAAAUAAGCUUCCUGAAGAAGCUUAUCCAUACGAGACUCCGCCGUAAAUAUGUUUAUCUAUUUAGUACUUUAUUGGAAAUAAGCUUCCUGGAGAAGCUUAUCACUUCGGUACCCGGUUAUGGAUAAACAUUACCCCCGGUAGAAGAUUAUCCAUACCGGGUAUAAUAAGCUUAUCCUUUCAGUAUCCGGUUAUGGAUAAACUUUACCCACGGUAGAAGAUUAUCCAUACCGGGUAUAAUAAGCUUAUCCUUUCAGUACUCCGUUAUGGAUAAUCAUUACCCCUAGCAGAAGAUUAUCUAUACCGGGUAUAAUGAACUUAUCCAUUCAAUACUCCGUUAUGGAUAAAUAUUACAAUCAGUAAAAGAUUAUCCAUAUAUGGCAUUGUAGCAGCUUACACAGCAGCUUGCAGUAGCAACUUCCUUUCUUCUAUAAAUAAAAGUGGUUUCAGUUCAUUAUGUACAUCAAUUUGAAUUCGAAUAAUAUAUCAGUCUCUCUAUACUUGUCUUUACUUUACGGUCUUUAUUUUAUAGCAUCUUACUCCAUUUUUCAGGUUAUAAAAAUACAUUAUGUUCAUCAAACCGCCGGUAGUGAUGCCUUAGACUUAGAGAUCUUAUUUCCGCCAACACAGGAGCUUUUUCAAUCUCUUUGGGAAAAGCCGAGUCCUUAUGCUGCAAGUUCCUAAAGCAAUACGCUGAUGGCCAUUUACUGACUAAUUCGUUUGUUUUAUAGCCGUAAGUAGGAGUGGAAAAUGGGCGGGUCUGAUCGAAUAUGGUUCAUGUCGAAAACGGGUAAUAAAACGAAUAAAUUAUUCGACCCGACCCAUAUUUAAUACGGAUAAAAAAGGUUAAUCGGCGGAUAAUAUGAGUAACCAUAUUAUCCAUGACAUCUUGCAUAUAAUCACUUUGGAGAAUUCUUAAUCUCCCUAACUUGAGGAACCCCCAAGUCGAGGCUUUGCAAAUGUAAAAUGAGAUUCAUUGGUUAUCCAUUUUCUCAAUGAAUUAUAUGGUUCUUAUACAUAGUUGACCCGUUUUUAAAAAGUUCAUUAUCCAACCAUUUUUUAGUAGAUAAUAUAGUUGUUAACUAUUUUCUUUUAUCCAUUUUGCCACCAUAACGCCCAUUCUGGGACGAGUUGGAAGAGGAAUUCCUAAUUCUUACACGGAUGAGACUGAUCACACCUGAUUAGUGAGAAAUUCUGACACCAAUCAUUUACGAGUGAGUAUUACACCAAGAAUUUACAAGCGGAUCGAGGAAUGAAGGGAGAGGAAUUAGAAUAGAAAGAAAGAGACGGAUUUCGAAUUAGAG